UACGGUACAGACAGGUGAUCUACGGUAUAGACAGGUGAUCCACGGUAUAGACAGGUGAACCACGGUAUAGACAGGUGAUCUACGGUAUAGACAGGUGAUCUACGGUAUAGACAGGUGAUCUACGGUAUAGACAGGUGAUCUACGGUAUAGACAGGUGAACCACGGUAUAGACAGGUGAUCUAAGGUAUAGACAGGUGAACCACGGUAUAGACAGGUGAUCUACGGUAUAGACAGG